rnacentral:rRNA from 1 species
AGAGUUUGAUCCUGGCUCAGAACGUACGCUGGCGGCACGCCUUAUACAUGCAAGUCGAACGAAGUAGCAAUACUUAGUGGCAGACGGGUGAGUAACAUGUAGGUAUCUGCCCUUUGGCCUGGAAUAACACGAGGAAACUUGUGCUAAUACCGGAUAAGUCUUUACGGAGAAAGCUUUAUGCACCAUUGGAUGAGCCUGCACUUGAUUAGUUUGUUGGUGGGGUAAUAGCCUACCAAGACAAUGAUCAAUAGCUGAUUUGAGAGGAUGAUCAGCCACAUUGGAACUGAGACACGGUCCAAACUCCUACGGGAGGCAGCAGUAGGGAAUCUUGCACAAUGGAGGAAACUCUGAUGCAGCGAUGCCGCGUGAGUGAAGAAGGCCUUUGGGUUGUAAAGCUCUUUCGUCGGGGAAGAAAAUGACUGUACCCGAAUAAGAAGGUCCGGCUAACUUCGUGCCAGCAGCCGCGGUAAUACGAAGGGACCUAGCGUAGUUCGGAAUUACUGGGCUUAAAGAGUUCGUAGGUGGUUAAAAAAGUUGGUGGUGAAAUCCCAGAGCUUAACUCUGGAACUGCCAUCAAAACUUUUUAGCUAGAGUAUGGUAGAGGAAAGCAGAAUUUCUAGUGUAGAGGUGAAAUUCGUAGAUAUUAGAAAGAAUACCGAUUGCGAAGGCAGCUUUCUGGAUCAUUACUGACACUGAGGAACGAAAGCAUGGGUAGCGAAGAGGAUUAGAUACCCUCGUAGUCCAUGCCGUAAACGAUGUGUGUUAGACGUUGGAAAUUUAUUUUCAGUGUCGCAGCGAAAGCAAUAAACACACCGCCUGGGGAGUACGACCGCAAGGUUAAAACUCAAAUGAAUUGACGGGGACCCGCACAAGUAGUGGAGCAUGUGGUUUAAUUCGAAGAUACGCGCAGAACCUUACCAACACUUGACAUGUUCGUCGCGACUUUAAGAGAUUAAAGUUUUCGGUUCGGCCGGACGAAACACAGGUGCUGCAUGGCUGUCGUCAGCUCGUGUCGUGAGAUGUUGGGUUAAGUCCCGCAACGAGCGCAACCCUUACUUUUAGUUGCCAUCAUUUAGUUGGGCACUCUGAAAGAACUGCCAGUGAUAAGCUGGAGGAAGGUGGGGAUGACGUCAAGUCCUCAUGGCCCUUACGUGUUGGGCUACACACGUGCUACAAUGGCAUUUACAAUAGGAAGCAAGGCGGCGACGUCAAGCAAAUCCUAAAAAAAUGCCUCAGUUCGGAUUGCACUCUGCAACUCGAGUGCAUGAAGCUGGAAUUACUAGUAAUCGUGGAUCAGCGUGCCACGGUGAAUGCGUUCCCGGGUCUUGUACACACCGCCCGUCACACCAUGGGAGUUGGUUCUACCUUAAGGCAAAGUUUAAAACCUUUGACCACGGUAUAGUCAGCGACUGGGGUGAAGUCGUAACAAGGUAACC